rnacentral:rRNA from 1 species
UACGUAGGUGGCAAGCGCUAUCCGGAAUUAUUGGGCGUAAAGCGCGCGUAGGCGGUUUUUUAAGUCUGAUGUGAAAGCCCACGGCUCAACCGUGGAGGGUCAUUGGAAACUGGAAAACUUGAGUGCAGAAGAGGAAAGUGGAAUUCCAUGUGUAGCGGUGAAAUGCGCAGAGAUAUGGAGGAACACCAGUGGCGAAGGCGACUUUCUGGUCUGUAACUGACGCUGAUGUGCGAAAGCGUGGGGAUCAAAC